ACGGAACGAACGAGCACGUCGGGGGAUCUGCACUCCCUUUUCUCGCCUGUUUCUAGCCCUCGCUCUCAACUCAGUACCUUUCAAUCUCCGUGUGUGUGCGACAACAAUUCACGAAAACUUUGUGAAAACUAUAUUAUUGCAAUAAAACUUCAUACAAAAAACAAGCAAAUUUUGAAAUCCGGCGAGAAAAACUUGCGCAAAAGUUGCAAACUCACGUAAGGUUAGCUAUCGCGUGAUACCGGCAAGCAAACCGCGCUCAACCACUCUCACCCCGUGCGCGCGCGUGUGUUGGAGAGCGAGCCGGCAAGAUUUCUUCCGAGUGCGGCAAGUACUGCGGCCCGGCGACCGCAAACGGCCCCACCAUUUCGUUCAGCAGCUUCCGGAACUCCUUCACCAGCAAUGUCAAUUACCUGAAGCGCCGGUUCAGCUCCGGGGAUCUCUCCUCGGAGUGCGACGGCGAUGAGUCGCAGGUGGAUCCGUACACGAAGGCGCCGCCGGUGACCUCUCAACCUCAGGCACCUUCAUCCUCAUCGUCUGUGCAGUCAAUGGCGCC